CAGGAGUAAAAUAGCGUUGUUCCUGAGACGAGAGUCAGUGGAACAGACCGGUUUUCUUCCGGUCCUGUCGAUUGGCGCAAUUGGGUCCUGCGCGGCAGAUGUCUGUGAACCCCGCUAGGUCCGUGAGGAAGCAACGGUAAGUGGACCUCUCUGGGUGUUGCAGGGGUGCCUGAUUGCGCUAAUCGGCAGGACCGGGCGAAAAUCGGUUUUCUG
rfam:Ktedonobacter sp. 13_2_20CM_2_54_8 13_2_20cm_2_scaffold_9248, whole genome shotgun sequence.